rnacentral:lncRNA from 1 species
GUCACCAUAUUCUAGGAAACACCAUCAUAUUAUCUAUACAUCAUAACCAUUUUCCGUCAAAUUCUAAACGCCCGAGCUUUUAGUACGGAGGAGGUGGGUAUUGUCCUGGGUAUGGACCUGGAAACAAGAAGAAACAAGAUCAACCACCAUUCAAAAUAGUUAGUGAACAGCAAGCGCUAUCAAUUGAAGCACAUACAUGAAAAAGAAAGGACAAUUAUUGUACCUUGUGAGUAAUACGAAGGUUGAGGAGGGUAUGGAGGAGGAGGGUAAGUUGAGGAUGGUGGAGGAGGAGGGUAAGCUGAAGGUACCGGAGGGUAAGCCGAGGUUGACGGAGGAGGAGGAUACGCAGAUGGCUGAGGAGGAUAGGCUGAAGCUGGUGGGUAUCCUGAUGGCUGUGGGUAUUGUUGUACUUGUGGGUAUAGAGAUGGUCCAGUGUAUGGUGCUGAUGAGUACGGAGAUGCAGAAGGAG